GGGCGGGGCCGCGAGCGUUCGGGCCCGGCUGGCUGAGGGGGCGCGCGGCUGCUGCUGUCGCGAUGGUCUCCUGGAUGAUUUCGCGGGUCGUCGUGCUGGUGUUUGGGAUGUUGUAUCCUGCAUAUUAUUCAUACAAAGCUGUGAAGACAAAAAAUGUGAAGGAGUAUGUUCGCUGGAUGAUGUAUUGGAUUGUGUUUGCUCUUUAUACAGUUACUGAAACCGUAACUGACCUAACAAUCUCUUGGUUUCCGCUGUACUAUGAACUGAAGAUAGCUUUUGUUAUUUGGCUUCUUUCCCCAUAUACUAGAGGGGCAAGUUUAAUCUACAGAAAGUUUCUCCACCCACUUCUGUCUUCUAAAGAAAAGGAGAUUGAUGAGUACCUUGUACAAGCCAAAGAAAGAGGUUAUGAGACCAUGGUGAAUUUUGGAAAGCAAGGGUUGAAUUUGGCAGCAACUGCUGCAGUGACAGCAGCUGUAAAGAGUCAAGGUGCAAUAACUGAGAAACUGAGAAGUUUCAGUAUGCAUGAUUUGACUACCAUACAAGGAGAUGAGCCAGUAGGACAGAGACCCUAUCAGACGUUACCAGAAGCAAAAAGGAAAACCAGAGCCUCUGCAAGUGAAUCUUCAGGAUACAAAAGCUCACUGGAAAAAAAUCCUGGAGAUGAUAAAUCUGAUGAGGAGGCGGAGGGGACACAUUCAGAGGAUGAAAUGUUUGCUCAGAGAGGCCUUCGAAGAACUCAGAGCAUGAAAUCUGUGAAAACUAUUAAAGGCCGUAAAGAGAUACGCUAUGGGUCACUGAAAUACAGAGUGAAGAAGAGACCUACUGUAUACUUCUAAGUGUAUUGCACAAUGCCUGCAAGACAAACUGCUGUACUACAACUUGAAUUCAAUGCGUCAGUCUAAUAGCCUACUGCAAAAGUCUCUUCUGGACAGCUCGAUUCUGCUCUUUGGAAUGCAUCCUCAAACUGGUUCACUGUAUUUUUUAAACUUUUUUUCCUUGCUGUUGGUUGUCAGCUGAUGCUUGGCAGGGCACAGUGGCAUCAUUAACUCUCAUCCCAGUAACAUGUAUUCCUUUUUGCUUGUUGAACUUAGUUUAUUUUAGUUUGAAAUAUCACACAAUCUUUGCAACUUGUGUACAGAGAAUUUUCAAACUUUUUUGCCUUAGCAACUGGAAAAGUGGUAUGUCUAGUCCUUGCCAAUGAACUUCUUGGGAAAGUGUUAAAUCAAAACAUUCUUUUUUGUUUGGGAAUGUGAAGUGUAGUUCAUGUCAAAUUAUAUCAUCCUAGGAACAGAAUGUUUUCUGAGAACUGACUGGCACCAACAGGACUGCUAAUAUAAAACCUAUGCAGAGGCUAAAUGUUCAUGAAAUAAGUAUUUCAUGUUAAAUCAUAUAAAGGUUUCAUGCUGUCCCAAAACAUGUCUAAACUGAAAGAGGUAACUUAGCAACAGCCUGCUGUACGUGUUAAAAUACACAGUGUGAGAUGAGGAUUACAUUGAUGGCCCCAGUUGCAAAUAAGCUUAGGGCAGACUCUGAUUACAAGGUAAUUGCCAAUAUUAGCUGCUUAAUGCUAAUUACUUUGCUAUGUUAAAGUCAUUGAAUAUUAUCCCAGAUACUUUUUGCAAACUGUAGUGAAUUCAAAAAUGAACAGAAGAUAAUUUGGUUAAAUAGAAUGGUGUGGAGUAAAUGCUAGGUGCAUUUUACACAGUGUUCAUGACAAAAGUUGCAUUUUAUUUUUGAUGUUGCUUUUAUUAAUGGGAAGUUGGUAUUUUAAAGUAUUUUUCUACAAAAAUGUGUAUAUGCAAAGGCAAUACUUCAACAUUUUUCAAGAACUUGUAUUUUUAAAUGCUACAGACCCGAGACUGUAUACACUGAGACUGAAAUUAGUAGCUUUAAAAAAAGCUUUAAUUUUUAUAUUGUAAAAAUAACUUGCUGUCAACUUGUUUACAUGUUUGUAGGAGGGAAAGCUUCAAUAUGCAUUGACUUACCUUGAUACUGUCUUUAAUAAAUGCUGCUUUGAGCAGGAUGCAACGGA